AAAAAUUUUGGCAACUUACAAACUCCAGUAAAUCAUCUUUCUUGCAAAUUUUAUACAAAAUUUUUUAUAUUUAUUUUAUCUUAUAUUGUCAACUGGGUCACCAAGAAACUAAGGCAACUACAUCUUGACCGAUCUCGCGUCACGUGACAGCUCGAAUAACCAAUAGCUGUUGAGCAAGUUAAGAACACCGAGCUUUUCACACAGCCACGCCAUUUAGUGUGUCAGUCAGUAGAAGGAGCCGCUUUUAGUUCAGACAUGACAGAAACUUACUCUACUUAUGAAGAGGAGCAUGUCCUGUGGUCUCUUUGCAACCCCCUUUGUCAGUGAGAUGGCUCUGAACUGUUAAACCAAGUGGAUGUAUAUAUACAUGUGUAUAUAUAUAUAUAUAUAUUAUAAAUAUAUAUUUCAAUUAUUUGCAUGGAGUAUCAGAAAAAACCGUCGUUGGAGAUGCUU